rnacentral:rRNA from 1 species
GUGGGGAAUAUUGGACAAUGGGCGAAAGCCUGAUCCAGCCAUGCCGCGUGUGUGAAGAAGGUUUUCGGAUUGUAAAGCACUUUAAGUUGGGAGGAAGGGCAGUAAGUUAAUACCUUGCUGUUUUGACGUUACCGACAGAAUAAGCACCGGCUAACUUCGUGCCAGCAGCCGCGGUAAUACGAAGGGUGCAAGCGUUAAUCGGAAUUACUGGGCGUAAAGCGCGCGUAGGUGGUUUUGUAAGUUGGAGGUGAAAUCCCCGGGCUCAACCUGGGAACUGCCUCCAAAACUGCAUGACUAGAGUACGGUAGAGGGUAGUGGAAUUUCCUGUGUAGCGGUGAAAUGCGUAGAUAUAGGAAGGAACACCAGUGGCGAAGGCGACUACCUGGACUGAUACUGACACUGAGGUGCGAAAGCGUGGGGAGCAAACAGGAUUAGAUACCCGAGUAGUCC